rnacentral:rRNA from 1 species
GGUUAAGCGACUAAGCGUACACGGUGGAUGCCCUGGCAGUCAGAGGCGAUGAAGGACGUGCUAAUCUGCGAUAAGCGUCGGUAAGGUGAUAUGAACCGUUAUAACCGGCGAUUUCCGAAUGGGGAAACCCAGUGUGUUUCGACACACUAUCAUUAACUGAAUCCAUAGGUUAAUGAGGCGAACCGGGGGAACUGAAACAUCUAAGUACCCCGAGGAAAAGAAAUCAACCGAGAUUCCCCCAGUAGCGGCGAGCGAACGGGGAGCAGCCCAGAGCCUGAAUCAGUGUGUGUGUUAGUGGAAGCGUCUGGAAAGGCGCGCGAUACAGGGUGACAGCCCCGUACACAAAAAUGCACAUGCUGUGAGCUCGAUGAGUAGGGCGGGACACGUGGUAUCCUGUCUGAAUAUGGGGGGACCAUCCUCCAAGGCUAAAUACUCCUGACUGACCGAUAGUGAACCAGUACCGUGAGGGAAAGGCGAAAAGAACCCCGGCAGGGGAGUGAAAUAGAUCCUGAAAC